rnacentral:rRNA from 1 species
GCAAGUCGAGCGAGAACUUUCCUUCGGGAGAGGGGCAGCGGCGAACGGGGUAGGAUCACGUAGGUAACGUACCCCCAGGUCAGGGAUAGCCACGGGAAACUGUGGGUAAUACUUGAUAAUCCACACAGGGUGUGAUUCUGUGCGGCAAAUGGUGAGAUUCCACCUGGGGAGCGGCUUACGCAGUAUUAGCUUGUUGGUGAGGUAACGGCUCACCAAGGCUACGAUGCUUAGGGGGUGUGAGAGCAUGGCCCCCACCACUGGCACUGAGACACUGGCCAGACACCUACGGGUGGCUGCAGUCGAGAAUCUUCGGCAAUGGGCGCAAGCCUGACCGAGCGAUGCCGCGUGCGGGAUGAAGGUCUUCGGAUUGUAAACCGCUGUCGGAGGGGAUGAAGUAUACGAGAGUUAUCUUUUGUAUUUGACAGAGCCUCGGAGGAAGCACGGGCUAAGUUCGUGCCAGCAGCCGCGGUAAUACGAACUGUGCGAACGUUAUUCGGAAUCACUGGGCUUAAAGGGUGCGUAGGCGGUUUUCCAAGUCAGGUGUGAAAGCCCACGGCUCAACCGUGGAACUGCGCUUGAAACUAGAAGGCUAGAGUGAGGUAGGGGUAUGCGGAACUUCCAGUGGAGCGGUGAAAUGUGUAGAUAUUGGAAGGAACGCCAGCAGCGAAAGCGGCAUACUGGGCCUUGUCUGACGCUGAGGCACGAAAGCUAGGGAAGUGAACGGGAUUAGAUACCCCGGUAAUCCUAGCCGUAAACACUGAGCACUGGUGAAAGGUGGGUUCGCC